UCCCUAUGGGGUGCAGCAGGCGCGAAAACUUUACAAUGCGGGAAACCGCGAUAAGGGGAUACCGAGUGCCAGCAUAUUAUGUUGGCUGUCCACAUGUGUAAACGGCAUGUGUUAGCAAGGGCCGGGCAAGACCGGUGCCAGCCGCCGCGGUAACACCGGCGGCCCGAGUGGUGACCACUAUUAUUGGGUCUAAAGGGUCCGUAGCCGGUUUGAUCAGUCUUCCGGGAAAUCUGACAGCUCAACUGUUAGGCUUCCGGGGGAUACUGUCAGACUUGGGACCGGGAGAGGUAAGAGGUACUACAGGGGUAGGAGUGAAAUCUUGUAAUCCUUGUGGGACCACCAGUGGCGAAGGCGUCUUACCAGAACGGGUCCGACGGUGAGGGACGAAAGCUGGGGGCACGAACCGGAUUAGAUACCCGGGUAGUCCCAGCUGUAAACGAUGCUCGCUAGGUGUCUGGGACGGUGCGACCGUUUCAGGUGCCGCAGGGAAGCCGUGAAGCGAGCCACCUGGGAAGUACGGCCGCAAGGCUGAAACUUAAAGGAAUUGGCGGGGGAGCACUACAACGGGUGGAGCCUGCGGUUUAAUUGGAUUCAACGCCGGAA
rnacentral:rRNA from 1 species